CCUACGGUCAGAAGUUUGAUACAUUAGUCUUUUACUGCUUGGUCAAUUUUCUUUAAAAAAAUAAAAUACAGAAAUUAUUUGCCAUCAACUCCUGGAGGGACUUCAUGAACCAUAAUUUGGAUAGGAGAUUUUCCAGAAGAGGAGUCACAAUUUGGAUGACAUGUGCUACACAUCAUCGAAUGUUCUUCAUCUACAUACAUCGGGUCUGACAUCUACAAAUUAACUGAGGAUACAAAGUAACUAUAGGAUUAUUGGAACAUCGGCUAACCGAGAUGGUUUUUAUGUCUGCCACUGCAGCUGACGUUGAGACAACUCUCCUGCAAGUCCUCGCCUGAUACUGCCUGUUUCAGGUGCAACAGGGCAAGUCACAAUUAGAGGUUGGAUGAUCACCUUUGAGGGCCGUGUAAUCUCUGAGGGCAUCCCACCAACAUUUGCAUCGGGACUUACUGCUGUGUUUGCAAUCUACUACAUAUUCAACCUUCAGUAUCAAGAUGAGGCAGUCUGCACUCUG